CCUACGGGGGGCAGCAGUGAGGAAUAUUGGUCAAUGGACGAGAGUCUGAACCAGCCAAGUAGCGUGAAGGAUGACUGCCCUAUGGGUUGUAAACUUCUUUUAUAAAGGAAUAAAACGAGGCACGUGUGCCUUUUUGCAUGUACUUUAUGAAUAAGGAUCGGCUAACUUCGUGCCAGCCGCCGCGGUAAUACGGAGGAUCCGAGCGUUAUCCGGAUUUAUUGGGUUUAAAGGGAGCGUAGAUGGGUUGUUAAGUCAGUUGUGAAAGUUUGCGGCUCAACCGUAAGAGUGCAAUUGAUACUGGCAGUCUUGAGUACAGUUGAGGUAGGCGGAAUGCGUGGUGUAGCGGUGAAAUGCUUAGAUAUCACGAAGAACCCCGAUUGCGAAGGCAGCCUGCCAGGCCAUGACUGACGCUGAUGCACGAAAGCGUGGGUAUCAAACAGGAUUAGAUACCCUGGUAGUC
rnacentral:rRNA from 1 species